rnacentral:rRNA from 1 species
GACGAACGCUGGCGGCGUGCUUAACACAUGCAAGUCGAACGCUGAAGCUUGGUGCUUGCACUGGGUGGAUGAGUGGCGAACGGGUGAGUAAUACGUGAGUAACCUGCCCUUGACUCUGGGAUAAGCCUGGGAAACUGGGUCUAAUACUGGAUACGACAUGUCACCGCAUGGUGGUGUGUGGAAAGGGUUUUACUGGUUUUGGAUGGGCUCACGGUCUAUCAGCUUGUUGGUGGGGUAAUGGCUCACCAAGGCGACGACGGGUAGCCGGCCUGAGAGGGUGACCGGCCACACUGGGACUGAGACACGGCCCAGACUCCUACGGGAGGCAGCAGUGGGGAAUAUUGCACAAUGGGCGGAAGCCUGAUGCAGCGACGCCGCGUGAGGGAUGACGGCCUUCGGGUUGUAAACCUCUUUCAGCACGGAAGAAGCGAAAGUGACGGUACGUGCAGAAGAAGCGCCGGCUAACUACGUG